UACAGAGGUCUCGAGCGUUAGGCGGAAUCACUGGGCUUAAAGCGUGUGUAGGCGGAUCGUUAAGUGCCUUGUGAAAUCCCACGGCUUAACCGUGGAACUGCUUGGCAUACUGGCGAUCUUGAGCAACCUAGGGGCGAGCGGAACAAAUGGUGGAGCGGUGAAAUGCGUAGAUAUCAUGAGGAAGACCAGUGGCGAAGGCGGGUCUCUGGACAGUUCCUGACACUGAGGCACGAAGGCCAGGGGAGCAAACGGG
rnacentral:rRNA from 1 species